CAAAGAAUAGUUUAAAUAAAAUAAUAAUUUUGGAGAUUAUAGAUAUUAAAAAAUAUUUUCUUUGA
rnacentral:tRNA from 1 species